UCAAGGACCGACUCACAUGAGAUGAAGC
rnacentral:piRNA from 1 species